AGCAGCCGCGGUAAUUCCAGCUCCAAUAGCGUAUAUUAAAGUUGUUGCAGUUAAAAAGCUCGUAGUUGAAUUUCAGGCCUGGCUGGACGGUCCGCCUUUUGGGUGAGUACUGUCUGUGGUCGGGUCCUACCUUCUGGCGAAGCGUCAUGGCCUUAACCGGCCGUGGCGGGGAACCAGGACUUUUACUGUGAAAAAAUUAGAGUGUUCAAAGCAGGCAAUUCGCUUGGAUACAUUAGCAUGGAAUAAUGGAAUAGGACAAUGGUUCUAUUUGUUGGUUUCUAGGACUGUUGUAAUGAUUAAUAGGGAUAGUUGGGGGCAUUAGUAUUCAAUUGUCAGAGGUGAAAUUCUUGGAUUUAUUGAAGACUAACUACUGCGAAAGCAUUUGCUAAGGAUGUUUUCAUUAAUCAAGAACGAAAGUUAGGGGAUCGAAGACGAUCAGAUACCGUCGUAGUCUUAACCAUAAACUAUGCCGACUAGGAAUCGGGCGAUGUUGACAAAAUGACGCGCUCGGCACCU
rnacentral:rRNA from 1 species